ensembl:lncRNA
GAAGUGAGGUGGUGCUCUGAACCGGACCGUCGCCGCUCUUUGCUCCUGGCCAUCUCAGCUCGCCGCGGAGAAAAGCACGUGCUUCCCUAGCACUGUUGUGGUUUGACUCGUACUUUGGUGCAAUUUAUAGGUAACUACCAACUUACAGUGGCAAUUUGUGUGUUGUCCAUCAGUGUUUUGUGUGAUGACCAUCUGCAAGGUCCCUGUAGCAGUGGACAGUAAUAUGGCCUAAGGGAAAAACUGUUGACUGAGGCAUUUUAUGAUACUGCAAGAAUAUUCUUCACCAAGAGAUUGAUCAAACCAGAGAAAAGUCAUGACAUGCUCAAGGAAGUAAAGCCUGCCUGAAUAAGCAUCAGGAAGACCUGGCGCCCCCCGGUGCUCUUUGUUUAACAGAGGAGGUAUCCUUUGGACAGAAUGGAAGAGGUGUUAGAGAGAAUCAUCAUGUCAGUAUGACAAGAAGAGUACUGAGACAUGUUGGCAACAGCAGGAUGGCAACCAGCUGGCAGCAAUGAUAGACUAUGAAUUAACAAGAAUCAUAGAAUCAUAAAAUGGUGUGGGUUGAAAAGGAUCUCAAAGAUCAUCUAGUUUCAAACCCCCUGCCAUGGGAGACCUGCUAACCACAAGAUAAGGCUUCACAGAACCACAUCCAGCAUGGCCUUGAAUGCAUCCAGGGAUGGGGCAUCCUCAGUCUCCUUGGGCAACCUGUUCCAUUGCAUCACCACCCUCUGAGUGAAAAGCUUCCUUCUAAUAUCUAACCUAAAUCUCCCCUGUCUGAAUUUAAAACCGUAAGUCUGAUAAAUGGAGGCUGAGAAGAACUAAUUAAACUUUUCUUGCAGGUAUAUGGCAGGAGAUGCUAGAUUAACACUUGUUUGUAAAUUCUGUUGGCUUAACAAAUCAAAGAGUAAUGGACUUUGUCAAACAGAAUACAGUGAUGUCUUUAGUUGGUCAAAACAACAAACUCUGAAUCCAGGUUACAAACUAUGUAUAAACAAAGGAAAUGAAGGGGGAGGAGUAAUUGUUCAAGGGGGAUGAGCACAUGACAGAUGAACCAAGAAGAAUGUGAGCUCAAUGUACCUUACCCAAUAGGAAAAGAGGAAAGGAAGAAGGUUACUAUAGCAUCAAAGUGUAGGGAAAAAGAGGUUGUGACUUCUGACAAGUUGAGAGAUCUUACUGGGAAAUUCCCCCAGUAGACUCUACCUUUAUUAGAAAAAAAGAAAGCUAAAAACUCCUCUGUCUGUUUCUGGGAUAAAGAUAAUUGAGCAAGCCUAUUUGAGCAGAAAUAUUUCCACCAGUCUUAAGGAGUUCUCUUUCAGACUGGAGUUUGGACAGUAACAGUUUGUACUCAGUUUUCACAAAUUCCUCAUUAAAAUAUCACAACCAUCAACAAGGUAAGAAUACUGACCUACAACAAAGUAUUCAAGGAAGGACUACAAACAUGAAAAUGUUUGUGUAAAACUGAAGAAUAUAAAAUAUCUCUGGCUUCAACUGGUACUUCCAAUAUAGUCACAGUAAUGUACUACUUAUUAAGUUAUGCCAUCUGUUUUUUGGAAUCUUCUGCUCUAUUAAUAUUUCCACUUGAUAUUAUUUUAAUUGCAUUUUCUAUCUCUGUGUUAGAAUCCAUUAGAAUAUAUUUUAAUUCCAACAGGGAAAUUAUUUCUCUGGAUAUGUUUUCUAUUUACCCAAUUUAGUAACCUUAAUUAAGCAUUCAUUGGUUCAAUCCAGUACAUGCACAUGGAAAACACUUCCAAAAGAAUAUUAUUUUCUUGGACAUAAACAGCUAGGAAAAAAAACACCUGUGAUUCUGAGGAUCUUUUCAAAAUUCUACCUGGGCUGAUUCAUGACUUAAAUUCUAAUGUUCAAGGGCUGUUAGGAAAAUUUCUGCUCUAAUAAGCUUUCUCAAUCAUCUUUAUCCUGAAAAGAGACAGGAUAAAGGGAGAGUUCACUGGGGCAUAUCCCUGUGGAAUCUCUUAAAGUACUGGGGGACACAGCCCCUAUUUUAUUCCUGUACUCUCAACACUAUUGAGCUCUUCCCCCUUUCUCCAUUGGCUGAGGUACUUUGGGUUCACAUACUUCUUGAUUCACCUAUCAACCACCCCCCCUGUAGGUAUCCCCUUAUUUCCUUUGUUUAUACAUAAACAGUGUAAUCUGGAUUCAGAGCAAACAAGAUUUACAUGCAGGUACUAACCGAGCAUCUCUUGCCAUAUAUUUGCAAGAUAAGUUUAACCAGAUCCUUGCGAUCAAAACUCUUCUCAGCUUCUUCUUUAUCCUGUUUUGCAGGGACCUUCCUUUGUUCUUCCCAGAUUUGAGCUUAUUUUGUAAGGACACUUCAUCCUUGUUUUUUUUCCUUCAAGGGUAAAUAUUAACAUUUCAGUGUGCAAACAAUCCUAACUCUUAAGCAACAAAAUCUCUUCUAAAUACUACAUAGCAUAUCUGUCAUGGUUUAAUAUUGUUUAAAGCAGCAUGCAGUUAAGUAAGUUAAGUACAAAACAGAUCCAUAAACAAACAAACAAAAAACAAAAACAACAACAACAACAAAAAACCAACAACCAAAAUCACACAGAGAGACAAUUGCCCCCUGUAAAGUGCCAGUAAAGGAAAUAGUAGUAUUUUGUAACCUGCACCCUUUGUAACAAGAAGUAAGGUCAUUCUUAUGAAAAGAGUACCAGCUUCUCAUGGUAACUAAUGGCAGCUGCUGAUUCUUUCAGUGCUAGCCUAAACAAAAUAACAGCUGUAUGACUUUUCACUAGAGCUCAUGCUUUUGUAAGACAAAAUAGUUCUUCAUUUUUUAAUUUAUAUUUCAGGCAAAAGCUGACCAAAAUUUAAUGAGAUGUUCUUCAGAGAUGGCACCAAUACCUGGAAAAAAAAAAAAAAAAAAGGAAGAAUCAGAUAGUUGGGGUGAUAUAGGCUGGUUUGUUUAGCAGUAGCCAUCAGUACAUUCGUUUAAGGAUCAAUAUAUUAGUUUAGCAAAAGGCAUCAAUGAGUGUUAGUUCUAAAACUUUCCAUUUCAGCUUCGCUUGGAGUGUGAACAGCCUUGUUUCCCUCAACAGUUCUGCCUCAGAAGAAGCACUGGAUUCAUAAGAGGCUACUUUAAUCUUUUGCAACCAGCAGGAGCAAGUAGUUUUUUUUUCUCAGAUGUUCACAUAUGUUGUUUCAGAAAUUUCUCAUUAUGGCCUAAUAAGCAAUGGAAGUUUUUCAAACUGGGGAAAAACAAAAAGGUCAGCCAGAAGUCUCUGUGAUGAAGCUGCUGAUGGAAACCUAAGGAGAAAGUAAGUGGUUGAAGACCACUAGAGGCCGCUACCAGAGGGACAUUAACAGAUAUUAAUGAAUUCGGAGAGGAAAAAAAAAAAGAGAGAAUAUGUAUGUGAAAUACUGCAUAAAACAUAUGUAUGUUUUAACUGAAACGUAGAAUCUGAACUCUGAGAGAGCAUGUUUGUUUUGUCAAGUCGUCUGGUAUGUAUCAUGUGGAAUAAAGGAAUGCCACCUUCUAAU